rnacentral:lncRNA from 1 species
CGUCAGGACAGCUCAGCUUCACUGCUCUUUGGUCCCACCUCCAGGACUAAUCCAGGGCUUCUUGGUUAGUAGGAGUCAGAUUCUCUGAGGUCUCUGGCAGACCCAGCCACGUCAGCAUCUGUGACUCUCAGUAAACUCAGAACCUGUGCUGAAGCGGACAGUGGGUUCAAUCCUUCUAUGAAGCGCUCACAAGGGAUGAACGAUGGCUCCUGGUAAAACUGGUGACCCCUGGAUUUGUCUCCAUAUCUUAGCAAUCUGUUCUGUAGUUCAUCAAAGAAACGAUUAUUAAGAAAUGUUUGAAGAGAGGGAGACAGGCUUCAGGCGUGUGUGAGAGAGGCAGAGCAAGACAAAGGCGGGAGAGAAGGUAAGGCUCUUUGACUUUCACCUUGUCUUUCAUACUCAGAAGCAUCUCAGUCUGCACUUCCUUUGCUAUUCUAUUGUCCAAGAUAUCUCAGCCCCUGGCAGAGCCUGAGUCAAAGAUAACUCAUGCAUUAGGAUUCACCAGGGAUCC